GGUUAAGCGACUAAGCGUACACGGUGGAUGCCCUGGCAGUCAGAGGCGAUGAAGGACGUGCUAAUCUGCGAUAAGCGUCGGUAAGGUGAUAUGAACCGUUAUAACCGGCGAUUUCCGAAUGGGGAAACCCAGUGUGAUUCGUCACACUAUCAUUAACUGAAUCCAUAGGUUAAUGAGGCGAACCGGGGGAACUGAAACAUCUAAGUACCCCGAGGAAAAGAAAUCAACCGAGAUUCCCCCAGUAGCGGCGAGCGAACGGGGAGGAGCCCAGAGCCUGAAUCAGUGUGUGUGUUAGUGGAAGCGUCUGGAAAGGCGUGCGAUACAGGGUGACAGCCCCGUACACAAAAAUGCACAUGCUGUGAGCUCGAUGAGUAGGGCGGGACACGUGGUAUCCUGUCUGAAUAUGGGGGGACCAUCCUCCAAGGCUAAAUACUCCUGACUGACCGAUAGUGAACCAGUACCGUGAGGGAAAGGCGAAAAGAACCCCGGCGAGGGGAGUGAAAAAGAACCUGAAACCGUGUACGUACAAGCAGUGGGAGCCUCUUUAUGGGGUGACUGCGUACCUUUUAUAAAUGGGUCAGCGACUUAUAUUCUGUAGCAAGGUUAACCGAAUAGGGGAGCCGAAGGGAAACCGAGUCUUAACUGGGCGUUAAGUUGCAGGGUAUAGACCCGAAACCCGGUGAUCUAGCCAUGGGCAGGUUGAAGGUUGGGUAACACUAACUGGAGGACCGAACCGACUAAUGUUGAAAAAUUAGCGGAUGACUUGUGGCUGGGGGUGAAAGGCCAAUCAAACCGGGAGAUAGCUGGUUCUCCCCGAAAGCUAUUUAGGUAGCGCCUCGUGAACUCAUCUCCGGGGGUAGAGCACUGUUUCGGCAAGGGGGUCAUCCCGACUUACCAACCCGAUGCAAACUGCGAAUACCGGAGAAUGUUAUCACGGGAGACACACGGCGGGUGCUAACGUCCGUCGUGAAGAGGGAAACAACCCAGACCGCCAGCUAAGGUCCCAAAGUCAUGGUUAAGUGGGAAACGAUGUGGGAAGGCCCAGACAGCCAGGAUGUUGGCUUAGAAGCAGCCAUCAUUUAAAGAAAGCGUAAUAGCUCACUGGUCGAGUCGGCCUGCGCGGAAGAUGUAACGGGGCUAAACCAUGCACCGAAGCUGCGGCAGCGACGCUUAUGCGUUGUUGGGUAGGGGAGCGUUCUGUAAGCCUGCGAAGGUGUACUGUGAGGUAUGCUGGAGGUAUCAGAAGUGCGAAUGCUGACAUAAGUAACGAUAAAGCGGGUGAAAAGCCCGCUCGCCGGAAGACCAAGGGUUCCUGUCCAACGUUAAUCGGGGCAGGGUGAGUCGACCCCUAAGGCGAGGCCGAAAGGCGUAGUCGAUGGGAAACAGGUUAAUAUUCCUGUACUUGGUGUUACUGCGAAGGGGGGACGGAGAAGGCUAUGUUGGCCGGGCGACGGUUGUCCCGGUUUAAGCGUGUAGGCUGGUUUUCCAGGCAAAUCCGGAAAAUCAAGGCUGAGGCGUGAUGACGAGGCACUACGGUGCUGAAGCAACAAAUGCCCUGCUUCCAGGAAAAGCCUCUAAGCAUCAGGUAACAUCAAAUCGUACCCCAAACCGACACAGGUGGUCAGGUAGAGAAUACCAAGGCGCUUGAGAGAACUCGGGUGAAGGAACUAGGCAAAAUGGUGCCGUAACUUCGGGAGAAGGCACGCUGAUACGUAGGUGAAGUCCCUCGCGGAUGGAGCUGAAAUCAGUCGAAGAUACCAGCUGGCUGCAACUGUUUAUUAAAAACACAGCACUGUGCAAACACGAAAGUGGACGUAUACGGUGUGACGCCUGCCCGGUGCCGGAAGGUUAAUUGAUGGGGUUAGCGGUAACGCGAAGCUCUUGAUCGAAGCCCCGGUAAACGGCGGCCGUAACUAUAACGGUCCUAAGGUAGCGAAAUUCCUUGUCGGGUAAGUUCCGACCUGCACGAAUGGCGUAAUGAUGGCCAGGCUGUCUCCACCCGAGACUCAGUGAAAUUGAACUCGCUGUGAAGAUGCAGUGUACCCGCGGCAAGACGGAAAGACCCCGUGAACCUUUACUAUAGCUUGACACUGAACAUUGAGCCUUGAUGUGUAGGAUAGGUGGGAGGCUUUGAAGUGUGGACGCCAGUCUGCAUGGAGCCGACCUUGAAAUACCACCCUUUAAUGUUUGAUGUUCUAACGUUGGCCCCUGAUCGGGGUUGCGGACAGUGUCUGGUGGGUAGUUUGACUGGGGCGGUCUCCUCCUAAAGAGUAACGGAGGAGCACGAAGGUUGGCUAAUCCUGGUCGGACAUCAGGAGGUUAGUGCAAUGGCAUAAGCCAGCUUGACUGCGAGCGUGACGGCGCGAGCAGGUGCGAAAGCAGGUCAUAGUGAUCCGGUGGUUCUGAAUGGAAGGGCCAUCGCUCAACGGAUAAAAGGUACUCCGGGGAUAACAGGCUGAUACCGCCCAAGAGUUCAUAUCGACGGCGGUGUUUGGCACCUCGAUGUCGGCUCAUCACAUCCUGGGGCUGAAGUAGGUCCCAAGGGUAUGGCUGUUCGCCAUUUAAAGUGGUACGCGAGCUGGGUUUAGAACGUCGUGAGACAGUUCGGUCCCUAUCUGCCGUGGGCGCUGGAGAACUGAGGGGGGCUGCUCCUAGUACGAGAGGACCGGAGUGGACGCAUCACUGGUGUUCGGGUUGUCAUGCCAAUGGCACUGCCCGGUAGCUAAAUGCGGAAGAGAUAAGUGCUGAAAGCAUCUAAGCACGAAACUUGCCCCGAGAUGAGUUCUCCCUGACCCUUUAAGGGUCCUGAAGGAACGUUGAAGACGACGACGUUGAUAGGCCGGGUGUGUAAGCGCAGCGAUGCGUUGAGCUAACCGGUACUAAUGAACCGUGAGGCUUAACCUU
rnacentral:rRNA from 1 species